AAGACUAUACUUCACAGGAUCAUUUCUGUAGUCAGUCUUCUUUUACUUUAAAUGCAAAGUAAACACAACUUUACCCGCGAUGAGGAGGUAUAUCGGUUUGUCUGUAGCGUGAGGAUAUGAGUAUUCUCCCUGAUCUGAUUCGUAUCAGAGUUUUGGGAAAAUAUUCUUCGAUGAUCGCUCGGUUAAACAGGCAAAACGACUUCUGAGUGGU
rnacentral:snoRNA from 12 species